UAUCUGUGAUCAUUAAUUUUCUGUGUCAGCUUGGCUGGGCCACAGAGUUUCUGUGAGGGUGUCUUUGUGGAUGAGAUG
rnacentral:snoRNA from 1 species